rnacentral:tRNA from 2 species
AUCUAGAUAGUUUAAUUAAAAUGUUGAUUUGUGGUGUCAGCGAUGAGGCUAGUUGCCCCUUUGGAUU